rnacentral:rRNA from 1 species
GGGUGCGAUCAUACCAGCACUAAUGCACCGGAUCCCAUCAGAACUCCGCAGUUAAGCGUGCUUGGGCGAGAGUAGUACUAGGAUGGG